CGAGCUACACCGUAUAAACUCCCCGAGCCAUCCUGAACCUAACCCACCUCCUUCCGCCGGAGGCAGCUGUCGUGGGCGAGCGAGCGACGGCGUCAGCCGGAGCGAGGGAGCCCGCGGCGCCGUGACUGGCCGCCGACGGAGCCCAUCGAACUGAACCUCCCCGCGGCCCACCACUUCUUCCACCUUCCUUCUUCUGCAGCGAGUGGAUCGGCCGCACCGACCACCGGCCUCACCAUCGCGCCGCCGCCCAGCGUGCCGCCGCCCCAGCCACCGGCCCCCCACCGCGCCACCGCCUCCCUCCCCACGCGCCGCCGCUUCGCUCCCCGCGCGCAGCGCCGCCCGGCCUCAUCCUCCCUGCCCCCGCCUCCUCCCCUUCGCCAGCGUGCCUCCACCUCCCGGCCGCUGGCAUGGCUCCACCUCCUCGUCCCGGCUGGCCAGGUGAUGUGCGCGUAUCAGUUCGCGCGAGGCCCGGCCGCCAGGCACCCUUUCGCCAUCUCGCGCGACGCCAUGGGUAAAGCCAGAGAUGGAGCUAUUCCAGCACCGGCACCUGUGACGUCAGUCCACCGACGUGCUUGGCGCCGUCCACAACUCCAUCACGCUCGAGCUUAUGCUCCAGAUCAUCUUCCCCAAUGUUCCGGCCACGGUUCCCCAUUGCCAACACGAGAUCCCAACCACUUCUUCUGUAAAAACUGUAGUUAUCUGUCGGAUUAGCUCCUUCACCGGUUUUUGAAGAUGGGAAGUUCAGAGUUUGAGCAAGCGAAGGCACACUUGCACGUCGACUGUGCUCAGCCACCAGCAAUAACUUGGCAGAGGGAAUUCGAUGAUGAAGGCAAGAAGGUUGCUAUGCUUAGCAUGACCACUGAUAUCUUCACAGUUAUACCAUUGAUUUUUAAAAUGCUUCGAUUACACGUCGAAGGAAUCGCGAAAAACCAAGUUGCCGUCUAUGAUCCGCUCAGGAAAUGGAUGAACAACUGCUACCGCGGGGUACCCCUUGGCGGACUAGGCUGACUGAACUUCAGAUGACGGUUUUAUUCAAAGUGCAUUCUCUUCUCCUUCUUUUCAGUUCAAGAAGCAUAGGGAGAAGCUACCGAGGGUACUUUCAGCAGUUUCAAAUAUUCCCCAGGUUCUAUGAAGAGAAGCAUGUCCUUGCCAACCAGUUCUCAGCAUUCGUUUCGCAUCCUGGCGGGAAGAGCUACUCGACGGUCUUGAAACUGGUAUGCUGCUAUUUUUGUCAGGCUCGCCUUUUCGAUGCGCAAAAUGAUGAGGGAUAAAGCUCUAGUCAGGAGACUUUUUUGCAUGCGAGGCAAUGGGUUCUGCAACAACAAGUUUUGAUUAUAUUGAUACCUAAUAAUAGCAUGUGCUCAUUUUUGAAUUGAAAUAAAAAGAGUCUCUCAAAUAAUAAAUGGGCUCUCUAAUAAUAAGUUCUAAGGAAAUAAAUAUAGAAGUUCAUAUUUCAAAACAAAUGAAGUAUUUUGGAAGUAAAAUAAACUAUUUCAAAGUACACAAAUUAUAUUUAGGUAUCUUUGUGUACUUCAACGUUACUGUACAUGAACUUGUUCUUUUUAUGUGAACUUGUACAUUUGCCCAUCCGUCAAAUAGUUUGAGUUGCACUUUUUUUGCCAUAUUUGAUCUAUCAUAUUUCUCUAGUUCCAUCUUGUUCGUGAGUUCUUUUGACCGAGAGCUAGUAAGAUCAAACAUGAAUUUACAUCAGUUCAAAAAACAGACUGUUUAGAUUAAGACCAGAAACAAGAAAAGAUGUACAAAAAGAAAAUUAAAAACUUUUUCAUUUGGACCUAUAUAAGAAAACAAUUUGCCGAUCACUACGAAUUUAAAUAAAAACUUGGAAAGUUUGAAAAAAAUCACAUAGAAAGUUCGAACUCCAAAACCUGGCAAGUUCAUGGUAAAAACAAAAAAAGGAAGAAAAGGUACAAUUUAUUUUCAGUGUACCUAUAAUGUCCAAUUUUUCUUUCAGCUCAAUUCCUAGAUUUCAUUCAGUUCAAUUCUUAUGUAGGUACUUGGUGGUGGCAUUGCUUCACUUCCCUUGGUAUGCUCUCUUCGCCCAAGUUCCGAGAAUCAAGAAAACAAAUACUAGUGCUUGCAUGAAUAUGAGCAAAAAAACCACAAAGGCCUUUGCGUAGAAACAUCACCUCCACACCACCUCCAUUCAUGCGCAGUACAUGCUUCUCCUGCCGCCCCGCCACCUGGAUCCAACGAGGCUGCGUCACACUGGCCCCGGAUCCGCCCGCUUCCAAUGAGGCUGCAUCACCCGCCGGCGCACCUCUGCCUCGCCGUGGGCAGUGGAUGCUCCUCCACAGCUCAACCUCCUGGUAGCGGGUAGUUCGAUGCUCCCUGUCGCGCUACGAGCAGCGCUCCCUCGAGCUCCACAAGAAAUUCUUUCCGGCUGCGUCUGCACCUCUGAAAAGGUACUAAUUCAAACACCGAAGCUGGUUCUUCAAACGAUUAAACAAAAUUAUUACUUCAACUACUGUUAUUAAGUUCACACACUCAAAGGAGGGAUUAUUGUUUCUUAUUGGAGAAGGCCUGGUGUUUAGUUGGUGUCUGUGUGGUACCUACACCAGCAUUUUCCAUCAAGACCUCUAGAAAGAGAGAUCAUCUCAAGGUGAAAAUACGAAAUCCUUUUACUGCUCUCUUUAUUGUCUCACUCGAUUCAUAUUAUUAUAUGUACACAAAGCCAUGUCAUCCUGAAUUUGUUACACCACCGGUGCGGGAGCAAAAAACAGAUGCACAAGUUCAUCUUUUGUGACACUCAGUUCAAAUUCUAAUUUUAGUUCAGUGCAAUUCUUAUUUUCUGUUUAGUUCAUUUUCUUAUUUUAGUAUGGUGCCUUAUUGAGUUUCUACUCUUCUGAAUUUUGGUUACCACACCCCUGUCUGGUGGUUCAGAUAUUCAUUUUUGAGAAGUACUGAGAAUAAAAAUUAAAAGCUCGUCCAUCAAAAGGUUCACAUAGCAUUAUACUGUUUCACAUGGUAUUGUCCAGUAAGUACAUAAGUCAUGCUCUUAUUUGCAGAUCAUGCAAGUUCAACUAUAUAACCGCAUGCAUUUCUCCCUUAGUCCGACUAUUGCUGCUACUUAAAAUCACAAAAUUUGAUUCAGCCAGUAAGUUGGUGCUAGUGGAUCAAGUCCAGAUCAACUAUUUUUAUGUUGGUUGUUACAAUAUUGUUUGAGUGAAGAACUGCAUGGAAGUAUAGCAUAAUAUAGGAGCUUUGAUUUACAAAAAAAAUAAGGCACCACCACCAGCCCGUCCACCACGGUUGCUGGCAGCCGUCCAAGUUGAGCGCUGAUGGUAGUCCUGUGCGUGCAUCAACGGCACUCUCUCACUGUCGCCGCCUAGCCCACGCCCGCAGCCAUCCACCUCACAGCCGCGAGGCACCUCCCGGACAUCACCGCCAAGAGCCUCUCUCUGCCACCACGCCUGGUAGUUGAACUUACGCGGGAUGACCUGUGACCAACUGCCCCGCCUCUACAAGCUUCUCGGGGAUGACUUGGUAGUCGCUGGGAUUCCCUGCAGUCGCCAAAGCGCGGCGUGCUCGUGAUCUCCGCAUCCAUCAGCUCCACUUCACCAGAGCAAUCAGUCCAGAGGAGGAGGUGUAGCCAGUCCACGCGAUCUCCAACGUCUUAUUCCACCUACAAAAAAAUUCUUUUUGAGUUCUAUUCUUCGUCACAGGUUCACCGCUAUUACCUCAGUUCAAAAGUGCGAAAGAGUUUAGUUCAGACUAUACUAAAUGUCCAUAUUGUAGAUAAUAUUUGCAUUGUCUUAAAUUUCUGGAAAUAAGCUUCAGUACAAGAAAAAUGGGUCAGUCAGUUCAUCCAUAUCCACACCCCGUCGACGUGCGGCGGCAGGAAACAUUUCCAGGUUGUUUUCUUUCUCUCUUUGCUUAGAACAAAAGUGCGCAAAUGCCUAGCAGAAAUAGAACUUGUUCGUAUAAAUGGGUAGGUUCAUGAAAAUUUGUAUUAGUAGUUCGGUGAAAGGAUUCACAUCAGUUCAAAACAUUUUUGAAUGUUCAGUAAAUGUUCAAAUAGACCAGAGGCUUUCACCUCAUUCGAAAAGCCUAAAGAAACAGUACAAUGAUAGAAAAAAAAUUAGUUCAAAAAAACAUGCUGGAGAUUUGUCGGAAUCACAGAAAAACAUCAGUUCAAUUUUUCUGUACCAUCGCUUUUAUUGCUAAAUGUUUUAGUCACUUGUUUUCUUGAUGACAUCAGGUAUUGCUUAAAUACUUCGAUCUUGUGCCGCUGGUACUAGUGUGGAUGGGUAGCAAGUUCAACUACCAAUGCACACCAAGUUCAGGCAUGUUGCAUGUUUCCCACACGUUCCUAGAAGUUGUUCUAGGAUUGGAAAGCUAGCAGCAGCACUCUUGUUUUCACUAUUUAAGUUCACCUCAAUUUCUAUUUAAGUUCUGUUCAUAGGAGUGCUUGUAAUCAAUUAGUUUGGUUUUACUUACGUUCCAUGAAUUUCUAGUAGCCUGAUAGAUUUGGUAGUGACAUGAUCUCCCUCUCCACCACUCAAGGAUAUACGAUGUCCUAGUCCAGCCCCAUGGCAUACAUUAAGUUAGUUGUUAUAGCAAAAAACAGUACAAAACUCUUUUUAUUUUUAUUUUUGAACUUAUGACGUUACUCUACAUUAACUUGGUUGUUAUUUUCGCAUGAAAUUGUACAUUGCCUUGUUAGGUUGUGCGUCUACUACUCAAAAGUCUGCAAUAGUUGAACGAAAAUUUAAUUUUUGUUAGUUUGUUGUCAUGGACAGUACAGGUGCACAUUGUUGUGUAGUACAUGUGUCCAUUGAUGUGUUUGAAUCCCUUCCGUCCACUUUGAUUCCUACAGGUGGUUCAAAUGUGUCGAGUGGCAGCAUCGCUUGAUCCCUAGUGGUUGCCCGCGCAAGGAGGAUACAAGGACGCUACAGUGGUGGAGGAGUUUGUCCUGUAGCUCUGGUCUUACCUAGUAUGGAUAACAUUUUUAUGGAAAACUUGCUAUUUCCCUGGUGCGCUAACAUGAUGUGUUGGAAUAUCAGCCAGCGGCCUGCUCUGGCCAUGCCGCACCACCACUGGCACGUCCACCAUGGUUGCUGGCAGCCGUCCAAGUUGAGCGCUGAUGGGAGUCCUUAGCAUCCUUCAACGACACUCUCAUAUCAAUCUCUCUCUUUCUUUGCUCCUGCUAUUAAAAUGUGUAGAUGUGCUGCUUUGCUAAUUGAGUAGUUGGGAAGAUGUGAAAAGAACAUGCUCUCUAGGUGUGUGAUUAUUCCUGUGAGAACAAAUGUAUUUAAAUGUUUAUUUUGUGCUCCAGCUUAUGCUUUUGGGCAGUACAAAUACAUCUUCAAAAAUAAGUAAAGAUGUGGUCUUAUAGAACUCUAAUUGUUGUUGGAUGCUAUUCCAAAUGCCAAUGAUCAUGCAAAACGGUUAUUGCU